UCCAUCGUCGUUGGUUUACCCGGAUACAAGCGCAGCGCACGGACUGGGACAACGCAGUGACAUAAUUGAAGUCAUUGACUACGUGAAUGAUUUGCGUCUGUGUAAUCUGUUUGAACAACACGGCGGCGUCUACCAGCAGUACGACGGAGCGUAUGGAGCAACACGCGGCAAAAAAAAAAAAAAAAGAUUAAUAGUUAGAUUAAUCGUUUAAAAAAUAAUCGUUAGGGAUAGCCCUAAUAAACAGAACCCAGAACCAUCUGUUACAAUAAAGACAUGCAUUCAGUUAUAUUUUUUAUUGUCGGAGAACUUGUGGCGUCACAAACAUGGCGGACGGAGAAGAAGCGGCAGCUUCGAACGCUCUGCCGCACCUGCAGUCUGAUUUUCGGCAGCAUUUCGGUUCUAACGCACCGGUGGAUAAAACGGCUGCGGUUUGGAAACUUCGAGAAACACUGCAAAAGUACUGUGGAGGUUUACUGAGCAGACAGACAUGUUUUCACCGCCGGAAACCUCAGAGGCAAACGGUGAAACUAGCUAACUUGCGCACGGCUUAUCUUCACGUAUUUAGGUCCUUGUAGCUGGAAGUGCUUAAGAUAAUUGCGCCAACGACAUGUAGGAAGAAAAAGGACAAACUGGUCAACAGAGAGAUGGAUCAGGGCAACAGCGGACAGAAACACUGAAGAAAAACUGAUCGUCACCUUAGAGCAACGACAAGAAGCCACCAAAGCUGGGUGUACUGGAGCUCCACUAAGUCGGGGCUCGCGUCUGCGGCUGGAUCCUUAAAGUAGAGUGUGGCAGUGUCCUCCCCCCA